AAGUCGUAACAAGGUUUCCGUAGGUGAACCUGCGGAAGGAUCAUUAACACUUUUUAAAGAAAGAGAGGAAUUGGUUGUGAUGAUUUCAUUGUCACACGUUUCCCUCUUCAAUCCAACUUACCCAAAUUGAAGUGCUGGUGGAAAGUUCGAAUUUCCGAGCUUUCCCACACGUUUUUUUUCAACAACGAAACCCCAAACACUUAUGCUAAUGAGAUGACAAACAAAAAAAACAAAAAUAACUACUAAUGUAACCAAACAACUUUUAGCAACGGAUAUCUUGGCUCUC
rnacentral:misc_RNA from 1 species